rnacentral:lncRNA from 1 species
UAGUUUUUCUAAUUAAAACAUUUUCUGUUAUUUGAUUGAUCUUUAAAUUUCAUUCUAGGUUUAUGAGGAAGCUGGUUCUGAUUUUCAUCAAGUUGCCUAUUUUAAAACAAGGAUUGGAUUAAGGAAUGCCCUUCAAGAAGAAAUCAGUGGUUCUUCACAUAGAGAAGCUGUGCUUAUUACCUUGAAUAGGUCAAUUGUUUACCCACAACCUGUGGCCUUUGACAGAGUCUAAUCACACUGGAGACCUUGACACUGGUUCUGCUUUGGUAUUGACCAUUGAAAAUACUCUCAUCAUUGCUUAUUCUUCGGAGUCUCUGGUUAGCAAAGGACAUUUCAAAAACUUUUGUAUCCAUUUUGCUGAUGGCUUUGAGACAUCAUGGGAUGACUGGAAAUCUGAAAUUCGUGGAGAUCUUGUGACAAAUGCCUGUGAGUGUCUUUUAUUUUCUGUAUUGUGGUUUAGAAUUAAAAAAAAAAACCUUCAUUUGUAAAACUGAAGGAUAUACAGAUAUAGGACUAUGUUUACAUUUUAUGAAAUACAGGCUGUUUUUUCUACCUAAAGGUAAA